UCAGCAGCCGCGGUAAUACGGAGGGUGCAAGCGUUAUCCGGAUUCACUGGGUUUAAAGGGUGUGUAGGCGGAUAUUUAAGUCAGAGGUGAAAUCUCCAGGCUCAACCUGGAAACUGCCUUUGAUACUAUUUAUCUUGAAUUUUGUUGAGGUAGGCGGAAUAUAUCAUGUAGCGGUGAAAUGCAUAGAUAUGAUAUAGAACACCGAUUGCGAAGGCAGCUUACUAAGCAAACAUUGACGCUGAGGCACGAAAGCGUGGGGAUCAAACAGGAUUAGAUACCCUGGUAGUCCACGCCCUAAACGAUGAUUACUCGACAUACGCGAUACACUGUGUGUGUCUGAGCGAAAGCAUUAAGUAAUCCACCUGGGAAGUACGUCCGCAAGGAUGAAACUCAAAGGAAUUGACGGGGGCCCGCACA
rnacentral:rRNA from 1 species